GGCAAUAUGGCCGAGCGGUCUAAGGCGCCAGAAUCAGGUUCUCUGGGAUUUGGUAUCUGGUCCGAAAGGGCGUGGGUUCGAAUCCCACUGUUGUCA